rnacentral:tRNA from 1 species
UGCUGCGGUAGCUCAGUGGCAGAGCACUCCCUUGGUAAGGGAGAGGUCGAGAGUUCAAUCCUCUCUCGCAGCACCAU